UCCGAGUUGACCCCGGCAGUCUCCUAUGAGUCCCCGCCAUCACGCGCUGGCAACAUAGAACGAGGGUUGCGCUCGUUGCGGGACUUAACCCAACAUCUCACGACACGAGCUGACGACAACCAUGCACCACCUGUGAACCGGCCGCAAGCGGGGCACCUGUCUCCAGGUAUUUCCAGUCCAUGUCAAGCCUUGGUAAGGUUCUUCGCGUUGCAUCGAAUUAAUCCGCAUGCUCCGCCGCUUGUGCGGACCCCCGCCAAUUCCUUUGAGUUUCAAUCUUGCGAUCGUACUCCCCAGGCGGGGCGCUUAAUGCGUUAGCUGCGGCACAGGAAACCGGAGAGGCCCCCCACACCUAGCGCCCAACGUUUACAGCGUGGACUAC
rnacentral:misc_RNA from 1 species